rnacentral:rRNA from 1 species
CUCCUAGUACGAGAGGACCGGAGUGGACGCAUCACUGGUGUUCGGGUUGUCAUGCCAAUGGCACUGCCCGGUAGCUAAAUGCGGAAGAGAUAAGUGCUGAAAGCAUCUAAGCACGAAACUUGCCCCGAGAUGAGUUCUCCCUGACUCCUUGAGAGUCCUGAAGGAACGUUGAAGACGACGACGUUGAUAGGCCGGGUGUGUAAGCGCAGCGAUGCGUUGAGCUAACCGGUACUAAUGAACCGUGAGGCUUAACCUUACAACGCCGAAG